UGGGGAAUUUUGGACAAUGGGCGAAAGCCUGAUCCAGCAAUGCCGCGUGUGUGAAGAAGGCCUUCGGGUUGUAAAGCACUUUUGUCCGGAAAGAAAUCCUUGGCUCUAAUACAGUCGGGGGAUGACGGUACCGGAAGAAUAAGCACCGGCUAACUACGUGCCAGCAGCCGCGGUAAUACGUAGGGUGCAAGCGUUAAUCGGAAUUACUGGGCGUAAAGCGUGCGCAGGCGGUUUGCUAAGACCGAUGUGAAAUCCCCGGGCUCAACCUGGGAACUGCAUUGGUGACUGGCAGGCUAGAGUAUGGCAGAGGGGGGUAGAAUUCCACGUGUAGCAGUGAAAUGCGUAGAGAUGUGGAGGAAUACCGAUGGCGAAGGCAGCCCCCUGGGCCAAUACUGACGCUCAUGCACGAAAGCGUGGGGAGCAAACAGGAUUAGAUACCCUGGUAGUCCACGCCCUAAAACGAUGUCAACUAGUUGUUGGGGAUUCAUUCCUUAGUAACGUAGCUAACGCGUGAAGUUGACCGCCUGGGGAGUACGGUCGCAAGAUUAAAACUCAAAUGAAUUG
rnacentral:rRNA from 1 species